GGAUUGUGGCUCAGCGGUAGAGCACUCUCCUAGUACAGGCAGGACCCGGGUUCGAUUCUCAGCACCA
rnacentral:tRNA from 1 species